rnacentral:rRNA from 1 species
UUAAAUUGAAGAGUUUGAUCAUGGCUCAGAUUGAACGCUGGCGGCAGGCCUAACACAUGCAAGUCGAACGGUAACAGGAAACAGCUUGCUGUUUCGCUGACGAGUGGCGGACGGGUGAGUAAUGUCUGGGAAACUGCCUGAUGGAGGGGGAUAACUACUGGAAACGGUAGCUAAUACCGCAUAACGUCGCAAGACCAAAGAGGGGGACCUUCGGGCCUCUUGCCAUCGGAUGUGCCCAGAUGGGAUUAGCUAGUUGGUGGGGUAACGGCUCACCAAGGCGACGAUCCCUAGCUGGUCUGAGAGGAUGACCAGCCACACUGGAACUGAGACACGGUCCAGACUCCUACGGGAGGCAGCAGUGGGGAAUAUUGCACAAUGGGCGCAAGCCUGAUGCAGCCAUGCCGCGUGUAUGAAGAAGGCCUUCGGGUUGUAAAGUACUUUCAGCGGGGAGGAAGGGAGUAAAGUUAAUACCUUUGCUCAUUGACGUUACCCGCAGAAGAAGCACCGGCUAACUCCGUGCCAGCAGCCGCGGUAAUACGGAGGGUGCAAGCGUUAAUCGGAAUUACUGGGCGUAAAGCGCACGCAGGCGGUUUGUUAAGUCAGAUGUGAAAUCCCCGGGCUCAACCUGGGAACUGCAUCUGAUACUGGCAAGCUUGAGUCUCGUAGAGGGGGGUAGAAUUCCAGGUGUAGCGGUGAAAUGCGUAGAGAUCUGGAGGAAUACCGGUGGCGAAGGCGGCCCCCUGGACGAAGACUGACGCUCAGGUGCGAAAGCGUGGGGAGCAAACAGGAUUAGAUACCCUGGUAGUCCACGCCGUAAACGAUGUCGACUUGGAGGUUGUGCCCUUGAGGCGUGGCUUCCGGAGCUAACGCGUUAAGUCGACCGCCUGGGGAGUACGGCCGCAAGGUUAAAACUCAAAUGAAUUGACGGGGGCCCGCACAAGCGGUGGAGCAUGUGGUUUAAUUCGAUGCAACGCGAAGAACCUUACCUGGUCUUGACAUCCACAGAAGUUUUCAGAGAUGAGAAUGUGCCUUCGGGAACCGUGAGACAGGUGCUGCAUGGCUGUCGUCAGCUCGUGUUGUGAAAUGUUGGGUUAAGUCCCGCAACGAGCGCAACCCUUAUCCUUUGUUGCCAGCGGUCCGGCCGGGAACUCAAAGGAGACUGCCAGUGAUAAACUGGAGGAAGGUGGGGAUGACGUCAAGUCAUCAUGGCCCUUACGACCAGGGCUACACACGUGCUACAAUGGCGCAUACAAAGAGAAGCGACCUCGCGAGAGCAAGCGGACCUCAUAAAGUGCGUCGUAGUCCGGAUUGGAGUCUGCAACUCGACUCCAUGAAGUCGGAAUCGCUAGUAAUCGUGGAUCAGAAUGCCACGGUGAAUACGUUCCCGGGCCUUGUACACACCGCCCGUCACACCAUGGGAGUGGGUUGCAAAAGAAGUAGGUAGCUUAACCUUCGGGAGGGCGCUUACCACUUUGUGAUUCAUGACUGGGGUGAAGUCGUAACAAGGUAACCGUAGGGGAACCUGCGGUUGGAUCACCUCCUUACCUUAAAGAAGC